rnacentral:tRNA from 1 species
UGUAACUUGGUGUAGAUGCAUUUUACAUUUUGGUUGUAAAGGUAAUUGGUAGUUAGUUACAU